rnacentral:rRNA from 1 species
CAUAGGUUAAUGAGGCGAACCGGGGGAACUGAAACAUCUAAGUACCCCGAGGAAAAGAAAUCAACCGAGAUUCCCCCAGUAGCGGCGAGCGAACGGGGAGGAGCCCAGAGCCUGAAUCAGUGUGUGUGUUAGUGGAAGCGUCUGGAAAGGCGCGCGAUACAGGGUGACAGCCCCGUACACAAAAAUGCACAUAUUGUGAGCUCGAUGAGUAGGGCGGGACACGUGGUAUCCUGUCUGAAUAUGGGGGGACCAUCCUCCAAGGCUAAAUACUCCUGACUGACCGAUAGUGAACCAGUACCGUGAGGGAAAGGCGAAAAGAACCCCGGCGAGGGGAGUGAAAAAGAACCUGAAACCGUGUACGUACAAGCAGUGGGAGCCUCUUAAUGGGGUGACUGCGUACCUUUUGUAUAAUGGGUCAGCGACUUAUAUUCUGUAGCAAGGUUAACCGAAUAGGGGAGCCGAAGGGAAACCGAGUCUUAACUGGGCGUUAAGUUGCAGGGUAUAGACCCGAAACCCGGUGAUCUAGCCAUGGGCAGGUUGAAGGUUGGGUAACACUAACUGGAGGACCGAACCGACUAAUGUUGAAAAAUUAGCGGAUGACUUG